rnacentral:rRNA from 1 species
UACAGAGGGUGCGAGCGUUAAUCGGAAUUACUGGGCGUAAAGCGUGCGUAGGUGGUUCUUUAAGUCAGGUGUGAAAUCCCUGGGCUCAACCUAGGAACUGCAUUUGAUACUGAAGAGCUAGAGUGUGGUAGAGGAUAGUGGAAUUCCCGGUGUAGCGGUGAAAUGCGCAGAUAUCGGGAGGAACACCUAUGGCGAAGGCAGCUCGCUGGGACGUUACUGACGCUGAGACGCGAAAGCGUGGGGAGCAAACAGG